GCUGCGCCGGCAUGGUGUGCGCGUUCCUGCUGGAGAUCCGGCGGGGGACGCAGAGCGCUUUGCUCGUUAUCCGCGAGGCGAGCUUGCGGAACCUGCCGGCCGACAUCUCGGUGGCUCCGGGCCGGCUGGAAGUGAGGAGCAGCUCCGCCUGCGGGGUGGCUGCGUUGCCGCCAGGGGUCAGCCUGGCUCCGUCCUCCUGCCGCGGGCUGCGGCGCCUGCACGGAGAUGGCCUGCACCUGCACCUGCGGCUGCGCGGUGUGCCCCGCGCCCCGGAAUCGGCUUAUAAUCUGAGGGAAAGCCUGAAACCACAGAAGAGUUACAUCUUUUACUGCCAGUCCUGUGGUGACAUCAUAGUAAAAGAAAGGAAAUUUUUCAGAGUUCUUCCUCUACCAAGUGAAAACUGGAGUGCUUUAGUAGAAGAGUGGUGUUGUCACCCUAAUCCCUUUGCAAGAAGCACUUUACACCCUCAGCAUGAUGACUGUUUUCUUGGAGAGACUUUUCUCCUGUUGAAUUCGAGAAAUGAAUCAUAUGUGCCUGAAUCUCUCAAGUGCAGCUCAGAGACUGAACAUCAUCACACUUCUCAGAAUGACUCUACCCUGAAAUCAGAGGAAAAUACCAGAGUAAUUUGUGAGCGCUGCAAGACAACACUGGGAGAAACAGUAUCAUCAGAUACUGUUAAAUACUAUGUGACUGAGGUGAUUGUUUGGCCAUCUGAGGAAAGCUUCAGCACAAUACCAAGGUCUCAAUUCGUACAGAGUAUGGUUGCUCAGUGUCUUGUGGAAUUGUCCUCUGCUAAAAGCACAUUUAGAUUCACCAUAAAAGGUGACAAUGGAAGGAUCUAUAUACUGAUAUGGCUUUUAAAUUCUGACACAUUGCUGGUGGAGUCCUCAGGAAGUUCCUCCUCCCACAGUGACUUUACACUGUUUGGCGAUAAUUUCAUGCCAAGCUGUGGACCAUCAGGGAUGUGGAAUGCUGUCAAAGUUCUCUACCAGCCGUGCAUUAAUAACAAGAAUAAAGACCUUGCUGAUGCCUGGGAAAAUGAUUUUGGAGUUCAUCCUUUAAAGUUUCCAUCAGAAACGUGUCUGGAAUUACUUCUGAUGCUGAGUUUGAGUACUGCUUCUUUACCCCCUUCAAUUCAGCGCAUGAACUCUUUUCAGCACUUCAAACAAUAUAAAUGAUUAAAAAUCUUGACUAGAUGGGGAAAAAAAGAUGCUUAUAGUACAGUACUUCCUCACUCUGAAGUUAUUGAUAUGAUGUAAUAUUUUUAUGCUUGGGUUGCCUUUCUGAAGCUGUGAAGAUCUCAGUUACCUAUGUAGAAAACUCUUCUCAAAUUCCCUUCCAUCAGACACAUACAGAAACCUUCCGAUGAUGUGACACCUGAAAGAAAAUCUCCUGGCAGUACAAAGCAGGAUGAGCUAUGGCACACAUUAUUCUUUCUAUCUGGAAGAGAUUCACAGCCAAAGACGGAGUUAGCUUUUACAUCCAGUACAUUCUUAGAUGUUGUUGUAAGAGUGACUGCUCACAUCAAGCUGGACUAAGUUGUAUGUAGUCAAUACUACCUUUGUCAGACAGUAUUGGGAGUCCUAAAAAGACAGGCAGCAAAGAAGGGAUCUAAAAUAUUUAAUGUUAUGGAUGCUGAAGUGUUCUGUUCUUUCUUUGCUCUAAUAAACUUAGAAGGCCGACUUUAAAAUACAUGUUUAACAAAAACUAGAUUUUGUGUGUUUAUCAUGUUUAUUAUUUCUGCAUUAAUGUUUACCUUCCUUCUUGUGAGUGAAGAAAGACCGUGUUCAUGUUAGUAUACCAUAUGUAAUAUUUUGGGAAACUGAUAAUGUUUUGAAGAAUCAAGACUUGAUGGUUGUUUGAACUAAUUAUUCCUUCAGCUUCAAAAAAGGGUAUCCCCAUGAGGGCUGCCUUUUCAGAAACUGCCAGAAAUGAAAGAUUAUUGUCCAUUUUUGCUCUGCGUGCUUACCUGCUUUUCACAGGAGUUUUUUCACUGGGCACAGAAUCUGUUACCAUUUUUGUUUUUGGAGUGAGUUGGAUUUCUGUGACUACUCAGAAUGUGACUGAGCAAUUGCACAGAAAAUCUUUCCCAAUCUGUUGAAAUGACCCCUAUUAUGGUUUUGCAAAUACAGAGCUAUCUUAGGUCACAAAAUAUGUGCUUUUGGGGUUAAGUCUCUGUCACAUCCUGCUUCAUUUGCUACUGUGACCAUACAGAGUAAAUCUGACAUUAAUAUUAUAUUUGGUUGCAGAGUGAUGUGCGUAGACACUUCAUCAGUUUUUGGGAACAAGGAAAAGCCUUCUGGAGAUGAAGAAACAUGCAUCAGCCCCAUCCUGCCGUGCUCCUGCUGUGGCAGUGCUACAGCUGAGCAAAAUCCUGCAAAUCCUAAGCAAAUCUUGAGGGAGCACCAAGCCCAGCAUGUACACUGAUAACACUGAGCCUUUUAGGAGCUUGCCUCCGGCCCUCCUGCUUGCACGUACUUAAAGCUGCUGCUUUUUUUAAUUUUUUUAUUUUUUAUUUUACACCCUUGUGCAUUGGUGUACAGGGUCUGACUGGGAUGGAGUUAACAACUUUUGUAGCUACCAUGCUACAGGUUGGAUUUGUGGCUCCAACAGUGCAGAUAACGCACUGCUGUUCUGGCUGCUGCUGAGGAGUGCUUGCACAGCACCAAGUCUGGGCCUUUUUAUUUCCCCCUCACACCUUUCCCUCAGUGAACAGACUGCUGUUGAGCAGGAAGCUGGGAGAGACCACAGCAGAGACAGGUGGUCUCAGCUGGCCAUAGGGUUUGGGUACAUAUGUAGCUUGCUUACCCUUAAAGCAUGUAAACAAACACCAUGGAGAUAGGAAACUGCUCCAGACAGUAGCUGGCUGCCAGCUGUUUUUUUGUUUUUUGUUUUAAGAAAAAUUUGAUCCUACUUAUUGCUUUCUCUGUUUUCCCCAUUGUUUUGUAUCUGUUACACUGCGUUUUUUUUUUUUUCAGGGCAGAAAGUAUGUUUAUUUUACUUUCUAUAGUGUCAAGUACAGCCUCAGUCUUAAAGCUGUGAUAAUAAAUCAGCUGUGACGUUAGGAAGUACCCACUCACAUUAACGGAGAUAGAUGUGCCUCCUCUACUAAUGUGCAGUUUCCAAACAGUGUAAGGCAACAAGAAGCUAUUUAAAAUGUCAGCUUUAAUUUUUACAUGCUAUCAAGUUGUAAAGAUUGCUAUUGCAAAACACCUCCUAUGUGUCAGACAAGGGGUGUUCUCCAUUAGCACCAAUGGACAACAGUAUUGUUCCUAUCAUUAGCAGGUCAAGUGUAGAGCUUGUUACCUUCUUUAAACAAGCUUGACCAUUAUAAUGAACUGGGAUAGCUAAGCUGUCAUACCAAAUUAAGUCUCAAUUAUUUGGUGGUUAUUUUAUCUCCAAAAGUAGGCUUUCUAGUUUAGUUUCUAUCACCUCCAGUGUAGGCUAGGAUAUACUGAAUAAUAUUGACAAAAGGAUUGAUGCUGGUCUUGCAAUGUGAGCUGAAGGGCAAGUUCUGUCUUGCCUCUGCUUCACUUUUUUGUGUGGAAAACUUUGUAGAUAUAAGGAACAGCUUUAAUUAAAAUUUACAGUACAUGUUUUUGCACUUAAUAUUGGAUUUAAAUGCAAGUGUGUUUCAGUAAUUCUUUCUGUUUUGCUGCCUUCAUUGUUGGUCCUCCAGAACAUCACUAUGAUGUCAAUUUUAGACUUUGCAUUCUUUCAUUUCUCUCCUAGCCAACUCUGUUCCAUUGUAAAUGACAGAUUUCUUGUUUGAGGUACUGCGUCAGCUUAUUUGCAUUGUUCCUUUCAGUUCCCCUCCAGCUUUUUAUCUUUUUUUCGAAGCACUGCAAAGUCCUCAGAUGGACAAGUUACAGAAACAUUGCACAACGCUGUCUUCACUAGACUUCUUCAGUUUCUUUCAAAAUGGGCUGAAUUGCCUCAUAGCAGAUGCCAGGGAGCUUUUAGCAAUUUUCACUGAGUAUCAGGAAUUUUGCUGGUCCACAUGCUAUAACCACUCAUUAGCAACGUUGUGUCUUUGAAUAUCUUACUGUGACAGGCAAGUGUGAUAUUUCUGUUAUUGCAGACAGCAGAUGCUGUGUUCAGAUCUCAUGGUGCUAUAGUUCAGGAAAGUUAGAUAGCAUUCUUUUAAUGAUAACCAUGAAUAUUUGUCUAACUGCUAAUUGUGCAUAAUGGCUCUUGCUUUGUCCCUGUCCAGUUGUCUUACACACUGGAUUGCAUUGGUCGUUAUAUUACAUGCUCAGUAAUGGAUGCUCCUUCUAUCUACUUGUAUUCCAUGAUGAUAUAAAUGCCUAUCAAUUUCUCAUUGUAAAUAUUAGAAAACAGUUUAUUUUAUAAUAUAAAAUGUCAUUUUAACUGGCA